UGGCUCAGUUGGUUGAGCGUCUGACUUCGGUUCAGGUCAUGAUCUUGCAGUUCGUGGGUUCGAGCCCCAU
rnacentral:tRNA from 1 species